rnacentral:rRNA from 1 species
GGGGGACGAUAACGGCGUCGAGCGGCGGACGGGUGAGUAAUGCCUAGGAAAUUGCCCUGAUGUGGGGGAUAACCAUUGGAAACGAUGGCUAAUACCGCAUGAUGCCUACGGGCCAAAGAGGGGGACCUUCGGGCCUCUCGCGUCAGGAUAUGCCUAGGUGGGAUUAGCUAGUUGGUGAGGUAAGGGCUCACCAAGGCGACGAUCCCUAGCUGGUCUGAGAGGAUGAUCAGCCACACUGGAACUGAGACACGGUCCAGACUCCUACGGGAGGCAGCAGUGGGGAAUAUUGCACAAUGGGCGCAAGCCUGAUGCAGCCAUGCCGCGUGUGUGAAGAAGGCCUUCGGGUUGUAAAGCACUUUCAGUCGUGAGGAAGGUAGUGUAGUUAAUAGCUGCAUUAUUUGACGUUAGCGACAGAAGAAGCACCGGCUAACUCCGUGCCAGCAGCCGCGGUAAUACGGAGGGUGCGAGCGUUAAUCGGAAUUACUGGGCGUAAAGCGCAUGCAGGUGGUUUGUUAAGUCAGAUGUGAAAGCCCGGGGCUCAACCUCGGAAUUGCAUUUGAAACUGGCAGACUAGAGUACUGUAGAGGGGGGUAGAAUUUCAGGUGUAGCGGUGAAAUGCGUAGAGAUCUGAAGGAAUACCGGUGGCGAAGGCGGCCCCCUGGACAGAUACUGACACUCAGAUGCGAAAGCGUGGGGAGCAAACAGGAUUAGAUACCCUGGUAGUCCACGCCGUAAACGAUGUCUACUUGGAGGUUGUGGCCUUGAGCCGUGGCUUUCGGAGCUAACGCGUUAAGUAGACCGCCUGGGGAGUACGGUCGCAAGAUUAAAACUCAAAUGAAUUGACGGGGGCCCGCACAAGCGGUGGAGCAUGUGGUUUAAUUCGAUGCAACGCGAAGAACCUUACCUACUCUUGACAUCCAGAGAACUUUCCAGAGAUGGAUUGGUGCCUUCGGGAACUCUGAGA